CUUGUUCAGUAAGCCUACACUAAAACACCAAGUAAGUACAAUAAGUCCUCAUAUCAAGACAAUUUGGUAACAUCUUUAAC